rnacentral:piRNA from 1 species
CGCGAACCAUAUCUCCGGCUCCUCGGGCC